rnacentral:sRNA from 1 species
UCUGGGCAUGGUGGCUCAUGCCUGUAAUCCCAGCACUUUGGGAGGUCAAGGCAGGAGGAUUGCUUGAGCCCAGGAGUUCAAGAUCAGUCUGGGUAACAUAGUGAGACCCUGUCUCUACACAAAGUUAAAAACUUAGCUGGGUAUGGUGGCGCAUGCCCAUAGUCCCAGCUACUCAGGAGGCUAAGGCAGGAGGAUUGUUUGAGCCCAGGGGGUCGAGGCUGCAGUGGGCCAUGACUGCACUACUGCACUCUAGCCUGGGUGACAGAGUAAGACCCUGUCUCA